rnacentral:rRNA from 1 species
UACGAAGGGGGCUAGCGUUGUUCGGAAUCACUGGGCGUAAAGGGUGCGCAGGCGGAUUUUUAAGUCAGGGGUGAAAUCACGAGGCUCAACCGCGGAACUGCCUUUGAUACUGGGGAUCUUGAAUCAGGAAGAGGUGAGUGGAACUGCGAGUGUAGAGGUGAAAUUCGUAGAUAUUCGAAAGAACACCGGUGGCGAAGGCGGCUCACUGGUCCGGAACUGACGCUGAGGCACGAAAGCGUGGGGAGCAAACAG